GCAUCAGUUGUUUAGAUGUCUAUGAUUGUUUACAGUUUGAUGUGUGAAAAACAAAACAUGUAAUACAAGUUAAAUUUGUAUAUUUAAUGAUUGAUUACCAAAAGCAACAAAUUAAUUUAUCUAAUACUUCAAAUGCAGAUUCUUUGAGCAGAUAUACGAGCAAAUCGUCCGCCAUCUUCUCAAGACACCUGUUUGGAUUUGUCCAGGGUGUUAUUUAAACAUAUUAAAUGAACAAGAACACAAAAAAUAAGAAGGAUUCGAAAUGUAAAGAAGUAGAGUCCAAUCACGCUUCUUUCUCUUGGGCUUAUAGAAAAGGAUGUCAUUUAAACAUAUUAAAUGAACAAGAAGACAAAAAAUAAGGAUUCGAGACCUGGAGAAGUGGAGCCCCUUCAUUUCUCCCUCCCCUUGGACUUGAAAAUAUGUGCAGUCCAAUUUACAGCUGCAUAUGUGGUGUUCUGCCUGCCUGCUAUGGGGCUCAUUUCACCAUGGGUGAUAUUACUUUUCCUUUAUUGUCAACGCUUAGAAAUAAAACUCGAGCACUGUACAGUUAUCCUCUAGAUAAGCAAUUGUUUCACUGUUGAUUAUUUUGCUUUUUGGUUGUACUUGAUUUUCAUAAUAAUUAUUCGUCUCUGGCAUCUGUGGUUUCUCUUUAACAGUUAUCUAUUGUUCGUAGCAUAAAUUAACGUCGUGUAUCUAUGAUUUUGCUUGUAGCUAUUAUCUAUUCGUAUAUUUAUGAUUUUUGGAUAUUUAUGUCAUGUAAAAUUGACGCUUGUCACCAUUUUAUAAUUCAGAUAUUUUACUUGCUUUUUGGUGCGUGUUUUUAGAUUGUUGCAACAAAUGAGAGAGAAUAAAGUUCAGUUUGGUCAUACUGAUACAACCAAUAUGUACAUGGGUGUGGUCUUUUGUGAACUAUGUUUUUAAUUUUCUGUUCUCCUCUCCACCUUGCAACAUUAUGCAGUCAAUCUUGAAACGGAGAGCGAGAGCAACUAGAGAUUUACUUACAUUUCACUGAAACAACGAAUUGUCUGCUGUGGCAUUCCUUUUGGAUUUGUUUUGCUUUUCACACCUGCAAACUUUGGAACAUUACAGUUGAUUAAGUUCGACGUUGGAGAAGACAAAGAUGACCCCAUAGUUGA